AUGAACGCUGGCGGCGUGCCUCAUCCAUGCAAGUCGAGCGAACGGACGAGAAGCUUGCUUCUCUGAUGUUAGCGGCGGACGGGUGAGUAACACGUGGAUAACCUACCUAUAAGACUGGGAUAACUUCGGGAAACCGGAGCUAAUACCGGAUAAUAUUUUGAACCGCAUGGUUCAAAAGUGAAAGACGGUCUUGCUGUCACUUAUAGAUGGAUCCGCGCUGCAUUAGCUAGUUGGUAAGGUAACGGCUUACCAAGGCAACGAUGCAUAGCCGACCUGAGAGGGUGAUCGGCCACACUGGAACUGAGACACGGUCCAGACUCCUACGGGAGGCAGCAGUAGGGAAUCUUCCGCAAUGGGCGAAAGCCUGACGGAGCAACGCCGCGUGAGUGAUGAAGGUCUUCGGAUCGUAAAACUCUGUUAUUAGGGAAGAACAUAUGUGUAAGUAACUGUGCACAUCUUGACGGUACCUAAUCAGAAAGCCACGGCUAACUACGUG
rnacentral:rRNA from 1 species